AUAUUAAAGUUGUUGCAGUUAAAAAGCUCGUAGUUGAAUUUCGGGAUCAAUAUAUCGGUCGUGCCUUUGGUACGUACUGGUAUCAUUGAUUUCUCCUUUCUGACGAAUCAUGAUGUCAUUAAUUUGGUGUUAUGAGGAGUUAGGACUGUUACUUUGAAAAAAUUAGAGUGUUUAAAGCAGGCAUUAGCUUGAAUACAUUAGCAUGGAAUAAUGAAAUAGGACGUUUGACCCUAUUUUGUUGGUUUUUAGGAUCGACGUAAUGAUUAAUAGGGAUAGUUGGGGGCAUUAGUAUUCAAUUGUCAGAGGUGAAAUUCUUGGAUUUAUUGAAGACUAACUACUGCGAAAGCAUUUGCCAAGGAUGUUUUCAUUAAUCAAGAACGAAAGUUAGGGGAUCGAAGACGAUCAGAUACCGUCGUAGUCUUAACCAUAAACUAUGCCGACUAGGGAUCGGAUGAUGUUAAUUUUAUAAUGACUCAUUCGGCGCCUUACGGG
rnacentral:rRNA from 1 species